GACGAACGCUGGCGGCGUGCCUAAUACACGCAAGUAGAACGCUGAAGGAGGAGCUUGCUUCUCUGGAUGAGUUGCGAACGGGUGAGUAACGCGUAGGUAACCUGCCUGGUAGCGGGGGAUAACUAUUGGAAACGAUAGCUAAUACCGCAUAAUAGUAGAUGUUGCAUGACAUUUGCUUAAAAGGUGCAAUUGCAUCACUACCAGAUGGACCUGCGUUGUAUUAGCUAGUUGGUGGGGUAACGGCUCACCAAGGCGACGAUACAUAGCCGACCUGAGAGGGUGAUCGGCCACACUGGGACUGAGACACGGCCCAGACUCCUACGGGAGGCAGCAGUAGGGAAUCUUCGGCAAUGGACGGAAGUCUGACCGAGCAACGCCGCGUGAGUGAAGAAGGUUUUCGGAUCGUAAAGCUCUGUUGUAAGAGAAGAACGAGUGUGAGAGUGGAAAGUUCACACUGUGACGGUAUCUUACCAGAAAGGGACGGCUAACUACGUGCCAGCAGCCGCGGUAAUACGUAGGUCCCGAGCGUUGUCCGGAUUUAUUGGGCGUAAAGCGAGCGCAGGCGGUUAGAUAAGUCUGAAGUUAAAGGCUGUGGCUUAACCAUAGUACGCUUUGGAAACUGUUUAACUUGAGUGCAAGAGGGGAGAGUGGAAUUCCAUGUGUAGCGGUGAAAUGCGUAGAUAUAUGGAGGAACACCGGUGGCGAAAGCGGCUCUCUGGCUUGUAACUGACGCUGAGGCUCGAAAGCGUGGGGAGCAAACAGG
rnacentral:rRNA from 1 species